ACUGCCAAACGAGUCCAGGAGCCAUCUUGGAGCUCAAGUCCAGUCAAGUGACAUCACAGGAACCAGAAAUCCAUCCAGCUAAGCCCAGACAACCCAGAAAAUUAUGAAAGAUUCAAAUGGGUCCUUCUUGUUAAAGUAAUAACAGCAGGAAUGGGACCCUUACAGCCUGCUGAUUUUCGACUAAGUCAUUGUCAAGUGUAAUCUGGGGCAUGUUAAAUAAGCCAUGGAUUUUGUGAAAGACGAACAUGAUGUGAUAGCGAAAGAAUGCUGUACAGGGGUUAAGGAAUGCAAGGGAGCCUAAUACAGCAGUCUUCCUGAUGGUCUUCACUGUCUGCAAUUUCAUUUUCCAUCAGGUGCCUACGGAGUG